CGAUGCUCCCCUCGGCUAGUCUCGCUCCCUCAUCGAUACCCCCUUCUGACCGAGCAUCCACCAAUCUGGCAUGGCCAAUCUUAUCCAGUAUUUAUAAAUAAUGAGGAUGCAGCCAGAGAUCUUAGCAGAAGGCCAGAGGUGGGCACAGCGGGUGUUCCAAGCUGGGCAUGGAGGGUGAGCCACCCUCCUCCUGCGCUACCCUUGCCACUCUUCUCGUCGUCAUCGUCCUCUGCAGCAUCAUCAGGAUUCUCCAAAACCGCCACCGCAACAGCUGCCCCAGCCACCCCAUCGGGCUCACUACGGUUCGACCCGAUGGCACCAUCAUCAUCGUCAAGCCACCAACAGCACAACCGUCGCUGAAAAUAAGCCAAACUGUAAAUUUCCGGGAAGCCGAUAUCUUUUUCCCUUCCGGCAUUUCAGCGUUUUCAGUCUUGUGCCGGUGUGGUUUCUUGUACUGGAUUCAUGACUGUAUUUUCCACGCUGCCCAAGUGAAAUGUUGCUUCUCAUCA